rnacentral:rRNA from 1 species
GACGAACGCUGGCGGCGUGCUUAACACAUGCAAGUCGAACGCUGAAGACCUGGCUUUUGUUGGGUUGGAUGAGUGGCGAACGGGUGAGUAACACGUGAGUAACCUGCCCUCUUCUUUGGGAUAACGCCCGGAAACGGGUGCUAAUACUGGAUAUUCACUGAUCUUCGCAUGGGGGUUGGUGGAAAGGUUUGUUCUGGUGGGGGAUGGGCUCGCGGCCUAUCAGCUUGUUGGUGGGGUGAUGGCCUACCAAGGCUUUGACGGGUAGCCGGCCUGAGAGGGUGACCGGUCACAUUGGGACUGAGAUACGGCCCAGACUCCUACGGGAGGCAGCAGUGGGGAAUAGUGCACAAUGGGCGAAAGCCUGAUGCAGCGACGCCGCGUGAGGGAUGGAGGCCUUCGGGUUGUAAACCUCUUUCGCUCAUGGUCAAGCCGCAACUGUGGGUUGUAGUGAGGGUAGUGGGUAAAGAAGCGCCGGCUAACUACGUG